rnacentral:snoRNA from 1 species
GUGUUCUCAUUGAGCUCCUUUUUGUCAACUGGUGGCAUUUAUGGAUUUGCAUGAGAUGAAGAGACAGUUCACAGAACUAGUAUUACUUUACCUUCUGCUUUUGGAGAGGUAUAUUUGGCUAUUUUGUGAGACAUUG